AGUGAACGCUGGCGGUAGGCCUAACACAUGCAAGUCGAACGGCAGCACAGUAAGAGCUUGCUCUUACGGGUGGCGAGUGGCGGACGGGUGAGGAAUACAUCGGAAUCUACUUUUUCGUGGGGGAUAACGUAGGGAAACUUACGCUAAUACUGCAUACAACCUACGGGUGAAAGCAGGGGAUCUUCGGACCUUGCGCGAUUGAAUGAGCCGAUGUCGGAUUAGCUAGUUGGCGGGGUAAAGGCCCACCAAGGCGACGAUCCGUAGCUGGUCUGAGAGGAUGAUCAGCCACACUGGAACUGAGACACGGUCCAGACUCCUACGGGAGGCAGCAGUGGGGAAUAUUGGACAAUGGGCGCAAGCCUGAUCCAGCCAUACCGCGUGGGUGAAGAAGGCCUUCGGGUUGUAAAGCCCUUUUGUUGGGAAAGAAAAGCAGCAGGUUAAUACCCCGCUGUUCUGACGGUACCCAAAGAAUAAGCACCGGCUAACUUCGUG
rnacentral:rRNA from 1 species